rnacentral:lncRNA from 1 species
GAAGGUUAACGAGAGCCACAGCCUGCGAUGUUUGAGGACAACUGUGAAUGGAAGGCAAGGCCCAUUUUUGAAUGCUAACUCAGGCCUCACUGCACUCCAGACUUCUGCCAGAGACCCUAUCACAUGCCCUAGCUAUGUGUUUACCUCCUGGCUGGACUUUGAAGUUUUAAGCUGUGUCCCCAACCCUGGCACAGCCCGGGGGUCCCUCCAGUUGUAGCAGUUUGCAGCUCUGUACCUCUUCUCUGGAAUGGUCAUGCCCAGCAGAGCAUCGGCUCUCUACCUUUGGACUAGCGGCUCCUGGAGAUCAAGGGUCUUGCCUUUAACAGUCCCCAGCUGUAUCCUUCCCAGUGAGCCCCUGGGAUAUGCACACAGUGAAGAGGCCACGUGGCCUCUCUGAACUUUGAUUCCUGUAUUAUUUAUGGUAUCUGAAGCCAGCCCUCUCCCAUGCUACCUUGAGUACCCGCUCUGGGCGCCCUCUUUACCACAGUUCCCGUUGCACCCCGUCAGCUGGGACCCAGCCACAUGGCAUCCCCACAUCACCCCAUCCAGGCUCAGCUGUGCUCACCCUGGCCAAAUCAGGGGAGGCCCAGCUCAGCGCAGGUGACAGGUGGGAGCCAUGGCUAGCAGCCUUGGGAGGAGGAUGAAAAAACAGAAAAAUGUCUUGCAAGUCUGGGCAGGGACCUCAGCAGCCAGAGGCCUUGGCAGCCAGGGGCUGGGAGUGCCUCCUCAUGGAAAUGGGAACUAUGCCUCAGGAGUUUUCACUGUGUAGACACUCACUAUGGUGGAGGGGAACGAUGGCUGCACAGCACAGUCCCUUGAGCACCGGGUCGGAGGGAGUAGGGAUCAAGAGGAUCUGAGAGAUCAGCAGCCAGGGACUAACCCAGCUGGGAGGCAGCAGAAUGAAGCAGCCGGAAAGAGCGGCUAGGGCUUUCCUGCCCCCAGAGAAGGGGCACAAUCCAGGAGAGCUAGUGAGUCUUGCUGGGCCAGCAGAUGGGGCCUCGGUCAGCAGAGGGAAAUCCUGAGUGUCCUAUGAGAGGGUCAGGACCCCAAAGAUCUCACCCUCAGCAUGGAUGAGGCCUCCCUCCAGCCUGUGGCUGUUCCCACUGUCCCAGGCUCCCUAUUUCCUGCCUCUACCACCUCCUGCAGUCCCACUCUCUCUAAUUUGUCUCUUUUCUGUCUGUCCCAGCAUUAUGAAAUACAAAGAUAAGCACUUUGUGAUUACAACUCCUUAAAGGAGGCCGGUACAGUGGCUCACACCUGUAAUCCCAGUACUUUGGAGGCCGAGGUGGGUUGAUUGCUUGAGCCCAGGAGUUUGAGACCAGCCUGGGUGACAUAGCAAGUCCCUCUCUCUCCAAAAAAAACACAAAAAUUAGCCGGGUAUGAUGGCACAGGCCUGUAGUCCCAGCUAUUCAGGAGGCUGAGGGAGGAGGAUUGCUUGAGCCCAGGAGUUUGAGACCAGCCUGGGUGACAUAGCAAGUCCCUCUCUCUCCAAAAAAAAAACACAAAAAUUAGCCAGCUGCACGGAUGAUAUGCUAACCCCCUGUCAAACAUCCCUGCCUUUUGUAAUUCUUUGAAAGCAUUAGUUGGAACCAAGUGGCUCUCGUUUUUCCCCACUAUUUACUCACCUAUCCAGCUGCCCUUUCAAUAUCGUGGGUGUGUAUGUGGGUGGACAGGGGUGUGUAUGUGUAGUGGCAGGAAUCCGGAUGUUUUGCUUUUUGCUUUUUUCUGGAAUUGAUUUCUCCAGAUCCAUACCUACUCCCCAAUAUCCACCUGUCUUCUGGACACUAGAUCCAGAUUUUCCUCUGGGGAACUAUUUCCCUCCCUCCAACCUCUGUGAUGUGCUAUAAUUGGAACUGCCUCCAUCCCUAGAUUCAGGGAUAGACAUGUUUUGUUUUACUUGC